AUUGAACGCUGGCGGAAUGCUUUACACAUGCAAGUCGAACAGCAGCACGGGGCAACCUGGUGGCGAGUGGCGAACGGGUGAGUAAUACAUCGGAACGUGCCCAAUCGUGGGGGAUAACGUAGCGAAAGUUACGCUAAUACCGCAUACGAUCUACGGAUGAAAGCGGGGGAUCGCAAGACCUCGCGCGAAUGGAGCGGCCGAUGUCAGAUUAGGUAGUUGGUGGGGUAAAGGCUCACCAAGCCAACGAUCUGUAGCUGGUCUGAGAGGACGACCAGCCACACUGGGACUGAGACACGGCCCAGACUCCUACGGGAGGCAGCAGUGGGGAAUUUUGGACAAUGGGCGCAAGCCUGAUCCAGCCAUUCCGCGUGAGUGAAGAAGGCCUUCGGGUUGUAAAGCUCUUUCGGCUGGGAAGAAAUCGCACAGGCUAAUACCUUGUGUGGAUGACGGUACCGGAAUAAGAAGCACCGGCUAACUACGUGCCAGCCGCCGCUGUAACAC
rnacentral:rRNA from 1 species